AGCGAACGCUGGCGGCAGGCUUAACACAUGCAAGUCGAGCGGGCAUCCUUGUGGUGUCAGCGGCAGACGGGUGAGUAACGCGUGGGAACGUGCCCUUCGGUUCGGAAUAACUCAGGGAAACUUGAGCUAAUACCGGAUACGUGCGAGAGCAGAAAGGUUUAUCUGCCGAAGGAUCGGCCCGCGUCUGAUUAGCUAGUUGGUGAGGUUAUGGCUCACCAAGGCGACGAUCAGUAGCUGGUCUGAGAGGAUGAUCAGCCACACUGGGACUGAGACACGGCCAGACUCCUACGGGAGGCAGCAGUGGGGAAUAUUGGACAAUGGGGGCAACCCUGAUCCAGCCAUGCCGCGUGAGUGAUGACGGCCUUAGGGUUGUAAAGCUCUUUUCUCCGGGACGAUAAUGACGGUACCGGAGGAAUAAGCCCCGGCUAACUUCGUG
rnacentral:rRNA from 1 species